rnacentral:rRNA from 1 species
AGAACGAACGCUGGCGGCGUGCUUAAGACAUGCAAGUCGUGCGAGAAAGUCACCUUCGGGUGGCGAGUAGAGCGGCGCACGGGUGAGUAACGCGUGGAUAAUCUGCCUUAAGGUUCGGGAUAACUCCGGGAAACUGGUGCUAAUACCGGGUAAGACCACGAUGUCCUUGGACAAUGUGGAAAAAGAUGGCCUCUCCUUGGAAGCUAUUGCCUUUUGAUGAGUCCGCGUCCCAUUAGCUUGUUGGUGAGGUAACGGCUCACCAAGGCUCCGAUGGGUAGCUGGUCUGAGAGGAUGAUCAGCCACACUGGAACUGAGACACGGUCCAGACUCCUACGGGAGGCAGCAGUCGGGAAUUUUGGGCAAUGGGGGAAACCCUGACCCAGCAACGCCGCGUGAGGGAUGAAGGCCUUCGGGUCGUAAACCUCUGUCGGGAGGGAAGAACGGUCGGUGUUCUAAUACAGCAUCGAUUUGACGGUACCUCCAAAGGAAGGACCGGCUAACUCCGUGCCAGCAGCCGCGGUAAUACGGAGGGUCCAAGCGUUGUUCGGAAUCAUUGGGCGUAAAGCGGGUGUAGGUGGCUUGGUAAGUCGGAUGUGAAAGCCCAGGGCCCAACCCUGGAAUUGCAUUCGAAACUAUCAGGCUAGAGUCCCGGAGGGGAUGGCGGAAUUCCCGGUGUAGAGGUGAAAUUCGUAGAUAUCGGGAGGAACACCAGUGGCGAAGGCGGCCAUCUGGACGGUGACUGACACUCAGACCCGAAAGUGUGGGUAGCGAACAGGAUUAGAUACCCUGGUAGUCCACACCGUAAACGUUGAGUGCUCGUCGUAGCGGGUAUUGACCCCUGCUGUGACCAAGCUAACGCAAGAAGCACUCCGCCUGGGGAGUACGGCCGCAAGGCUA